rnacentral:rRNA from 1 species
GUGAGGAAUAUUGCGCAAUGGAGGCAACUCUGACGCAGCCAUGCCGCGUGCAGGAAGAAGGCGCUACGCGUUGUAAACUGCUUUUAACCGGGAAGAAACCCCAGGACGUGUCCUGGGUUGACGGUACCGGAGGAAUAAGCACCGGCUAACUUCGUGCCAGCAGCCGCGGUAAUACGAAGGGUGCAAGCGUUAUCAGGAUUCAUUGGGUUUAAAGGGUGCGUAGGCGGAGCGUUAAGUCAGUGGUGAAAUCCUGCAGCUUAACUGUAGACUUGCCAUUGAUACUGGCGCUCUUGAGUGCGCUUGAAGUGGGCGGAAUGUGCCGUGUAGCGGUGAAAUGCUUAGAUAUGGCACAGAACACCAAUUGCGAAGGCAGCUCACUAAGGCGAUACUGACGCUGAGGCACGAAAGCGUGGGGAUCGAACAGGAUUAGAAACCCCAGUAGUCC